AUUGAACGCUGGCGGCAGGCCUAACACAUUCAAGUCGAGCGAGCCGCGGACGGGUGAGUAAUGUCUGUGAACCUGCCUGAUGGAGGGGGAUAACUCCUGUAAACGGUAUCUAAUACCCCAUACCAUCAGAUGUGCCCAGAUGGGAUUAGCUAGUAGGUGGGGUAAUGGCUUACCUAGGCGACGAUCCCUAGCUGGUCUGAGAGGAUGACCAGCUACACUGGAACUGAGACAGGGUCCAUAAUCUGAGGGUAGGCAGCAGUGGGGAAGAUUGCGCAAUGGGUGCAAGCCUGAUGGAGCCAUGCCGCGUGUGUGAAGAAGGCCUGCGGGUUGUACAGCACUUUCAGCGGGGAGGCGUUAACCGCAGAAGAAGCACAGGCUAACUCCGUGCUAGCAGCCGCGGUAAUUC
rnacentral:rRNA from 1 species